GGAGAGGCAGCCUGAGAGACGGCUACCAGUUCUAAGGAACGCAGCAGGCGCGCAAAUUACACAAUGACAGUAAACUGUUGAUGUAGUGACAAGAGGUAACGGGGCGGUCCUCUAUGAGGCCCGUCAUUGUAUUGAGUAAAACUCAAAAUAUUUAACGAAACCAAUUGGAGGGCAAGUCUGGUGCCAGCAGCCGCGGUAAUUCCAGCUCCAAAAGCAUAUAUUAAAGUUGUUGCGGUUAAAAAGCUCGUAGUUGGAUCCAUGACCUCGGAGGGCGGUCCCCCACUGGGUGCGUACUGCUGCUCCGAGUCCUAUCUGUCAGUUUGUCUGUGUUGCCUUUAAUCGGGUGGCACAGGUGACUGACGUGUUUACUUUGAAAAAAUUAGAGUGUUUAAAGCAGGCGUUGAAUGCCUGAAUAGUGGUGCAUGGAAUAAUGGAAUAGGAUCUCGGUUCUAUUUUGUUGGUUCAAGAGCAUGAGAAAAUGAUUAAGAGGGACAGACGGGGGCAUUUGUAUUGCUGCGUUAGAGGUGAAAUUCUUGGGUCGUAGCAAGACAAACUACUGCGAAGGCAUUUGCCAAGAAUGUUUUCAUUAAUCAAGAACGAAAGUUAGAGGUUCGAAGGCGAUCAGAUACCGCCCUAGUUCUAACCGUAAACCAUGUCGACUAGCUAUCUGUCAGCGUUAAUAAUGACCUGACAGGCAGCUUACCGGAAACGAAAGUUUCUCGAUUCCGGGGGUAGUAUGGUUGCAAAGCUGAAACUUAAAGGAAUUGACGGAAGGGCACCACCAGGAGUGGAGCCUGCGGCUUAAUUUGACACAACACGGGAAAACUCACCCGGCCCGGACACCGUAAGGAUUGACAGAUUAAUAGCUCUUUCUCGAUUUGGUGAUUGGUGGUGCAUGGCCGUUCUUAGUUGGUGGAGCGAUUUGUCUGGUUAAUUCCGAUAACGAACGAGAUUCUAACUUACUAACUAGUUCCACGAUCCUUGUGGUCCUAAAUACUUCUUAGAGGGAAAACCGGCAUUUAGUCGAACGAGAUUGAGCAAUAACAGGUCUGUGAUGCCCUUAGAUGUCCGGGGCUGCACGCGUGCUACACUGAAGGAAUCAGCGUGUUUUUCCCUUGCCUGUAAUGGCUGGGUAACCGACUGAAUCUCCUUCGUGUUAGGGAUAGAUCAUUGAAACUAGUGAUCUUCAACUUGGAAUUCCUGGUACGUUUGAGUCAUAAGCUCAAGCAGAUUACGUCCCUGCCCUUUGUACACACCGCCCGUCGCUACUACCGACUGGCAAUAUCUUUGAGACACUUGGAGCGGCCGUGAGCUACCCUAACCGGUAACUCACGGCUGCGAAAAGGUUCGAAAAGGUUUUGCUGGAGGAAGUAAAAGUCGUAACAAGGUU
rnacentral:rRNA from 1 species